GAGGGGAGGGUCUAACCAACAAGAACUGCUAACUCUUGCAUCUGAGUAUGAAACCUCAGCCCCCUUA
rnacentral:tRNA from 1 species